AUCCCUAUUCACAAUUUCUCAUGAUUUCUCUGCCUCGAACCCUAAUCCCGACCUACCUGCAUGCGAAACUCCUCCUUGCCUGCUCGGAGUCCCCCUUUCGACUAGGUCACCACUAUUCGCUGUGUCGAUGGAAUCUUCUCUGUCAGUUUUUCCUCACCCCGUGUCUCAGUCAUCAUCCAACUAGGUAAGUGUCUCAUCAGCAACCGACGGUUCAUCUCCUGUCCCCCUCUGGUGAUCUUCCCUUGUCUUAGGCAAGUAUCAUUGUGUUCACCGACAGCUUUUCUCUAGUGAUUGGACUUCAUCUUCUUUGGAGCUUAGGAACAUAGGGAGUCGAGCGAAAGACAUAGCUAGCGAGAAGGAUGGCACGGGAGAAUGCGUAUGAGGGAUGAGGCACUAUGGAAGAGUACACCAGCGGACGAGAAGGAAGGGUACGGUGUUUCUGAGGGACGAGAAGACGGAGCGGAAAUUUGCUCAGGGAGCAAGAGACACAGCUAACGAGAAGGCCGGCACAUAGUGCGACCAAGGGACGAAGAGUUGCGGAUGAGUAUGCUAGCGGAUGAGAAGGAAGCACACGAUGAUUUCGAGGUACGAGAAGUCAGAGCAAAAGCCUGCUCGAGAAGGUCGAAAUUGGGUUUGGGUGAGCCUUAUUUCGGUUGGCCGAAAUCACCCAAGCGAGCGAAGCCAGAGCGGAAGACCCGGACUGAGGUGAGCAACACCGGAGCAGAGGGAUUGGACCAAAAGUCAACCCUAUUGACUUUAGUGGUUCCGGGCGCCUGAACCGUCCGGGCGCCCGAACCGUCCGGGCGCCCGGAGCCAUUACGGGCGCCCAGAGUUGAGCAUUGACCAGGAUCGUGUUAAACAUGAUUCGUUGUGAAGGGGAUAAAAGUUUAUCUCCUCCAAGGUACCUGGAACCCUUUCAAGCGCCCCGACCAAGGCUAUAAAUACAGCCUUGGUCCAGAAGCUAGAGAAUAGACAAGCAAUUAGCAUUUCCAACACUUGUGCACUUCAUUUGUAGUUUAGCUUCUU